CCCCUCUCAGGGUCGCAUCUGGAGAGUUUUCAGUACUCUAGCGAUCUCGGCUACGGGAGGGAGAGGCAAGCAGAGGUCUACCCAUUCCAUUCCUAGCUUGGGCAGUGGCUAGCAAGUGGAAAACAAUCUGCCACAGGU